AUGAACGCUAGCGACAGGCUUAACACAUGCAAGUCGAGGGGCAGCACAGGUAGCAAUACCGGGUGGCGACCGGCGCACGGGUGAGUAACGCGUAUGCAACUUACCUAUCAGAGGGGGAUAACCCGGCGAAAGUCGGACUAAUACCGCAUGAAGCAGGGGCCCCGCAUGGGGAUAUUUGCUAAAGAUUCAUCGCUGAUAGAUAGGCAUGCGUUCCAUUAGGCAGUUGGCGGGGUAACGGCCCACCAAACCGACGAUGGAUAGGGGUUCUGAGAGGAAGGUCCCCCACAUUGGUACUGAGACACGGACCAAACUCCUACGGGAGGCAGCAGUGAGGAAUAUUGGUCAAUGGGCGUAAGCCUGAACCAGCCAAGUCGCGUGAGGGAUGAAGGUUCUAUGGAUCGUAAACCUCUUUUAUAAGGGAAUAAAGUGCGGGACGUGUCCCGUUUUGUAUGUACCUUAUGAAUAAGGAUCGGCUAACUCCGUGCCAGCAGCCGCGGUAAUACGGAGGAUCCGAGCGUUAUCCGGAUUUAUUGGGUUUAAAGGGUGCGUAGGCGGCCUUUUAAGUCAGCGGUGAAAGUCUGUGGCUCAACCAUAGAAUUGCCGUUGAAACUGGGGGGCUUGAGUAUGUUUGAGGCAGGCGGAAUGCGUGGUGUAGCGGUGAAAUGCAUAGAUAUCACGCAGAACCCCGAUUGCGAAGGCAGCCUGCCAAGCCAUGACUGACGCUGAUGCACGAAAGCGUGGGGAUCAAACAGGAUUAGAUACCCUGGUAGUCCACGCAGUAAACGAUGAUCACUAGCUGUUUGCGAUACACUGUAAGCGGCACAGCGAAAGCGUUAAGUGAUCCACCUGGGGAGUACGCCGGCAACGGUGAAACUCAAAGGAAUUGACGGGGGCCCGCACAAGCGGAGGAACAUGUGGUUUAAUUCGAUGAUACGCGAGGAACCUUACCCGGGUUUGAACGCAUUCGGACCGAGGUGGAAACACCUUUUCUAGCAAUAGCCGUUUGCGAGGUGCUGCAUGGUUGUCGUCAGCUCGUGCCGUGAGGUGUCGGCUUAAGUGCCAUAACGAGCGCAACCCUUGCCACUAGUUACUAACAGGUAAAGCUGAGGACUCUGGUGGGACUGCCAGCGUAAGCUGCGAGGAAGGCGGGGAUGACGUCAAAUCAGCACGGCCCUUACAUCCGGGGCGACACACGUGUUACAAUGGCGUGGACAAAGGGAAGCCACCUGGCGACAGGGAGCGAAUCCCCAAACCACGUCUCAGUUCGGAUCGGAGUCUGCAACCCGACUCCGUGAAGCUGGAUUCGCUAGUAAUCGCGCAUCAGCCAUGGCGCGGUGAAUACGUUCCCGGGCCUUGUACACACCGCCCGUCAAGCCAUGGGAGCCGGGGGUACCUGAAGUCCGUAACCGCGAGGAUCGGCCUAGGGUAAAACUGGUGACUGGGGCU
rnacentral:rRNA from 1 species